rnacentral:rRNA from 1 species
CCUACGGGAGACUGCAGUGAGGAAUAUUGGUCAAUGGGCGCUAGCCUGAACCAGCCAAGUAGCGUGAAGGAUGACUGCCCUAUGGGUUGUAAACUUCUUUUAUAUGGGAAUAAAGUGCAGUAUGUAUACUGCUUUGCAUGUACCUUAUGAAUAAGGAUCGGCUAACUCCGUGCCAGCAGCCGCGGUAAUACGGAGGAUCCGAGCGUUAUCCGGAUUUAUUGGGUUUAAAGGGAGCGUAGGCGGGUUGUUAAGUCAGUUGUGAAAGUUUGCGGCUCAACCGUAAAAUUGCAGUUGAUACUGGCAGCCUUGAGUACAGUAGAGGUAGGCGGAAUUCGUGGUGUAGCGGUGAAAUGCUUAGAUAUCACGAAGAACUCCGAUUGCGAAGGCAGCCUGCUGGACUGUAACUGACGCUGAUGCUCGAAAGUGUGGGUAUCAAACAGGAUUAGAUACCCGAGUAGUC